ACAACAACAACACUCAUAAGGUGUAAACAACAACAACAGUCACAAGGUGUAAACAACAACAACAACAUAAAACAAGCUUUCAGAGGUCAUCAACAACUCCCAAAUGCAGUACUAACGCAGCCAACUAUCUCCUUCAUCCAAAUCAAAUGUUAUCUGUCACACGUGCCCGAAUACAACAGGUACCUUUACAGUGAAAUGCCCGAAUACAACAGGUACCUUUACCGUGAAAUGCCCGAAUACAACAGGUACCUUUACUGUGAAAUGCCGAAUACAACAGGUACCUUUACCGUGAAAUGCCCGAAUACAACAGGUACCUUUACCGUGAAAUGCCGAAUACAACAGGUACCUUUACCGUGAAAUGCCGAAUACAACAGGUACCUUUACCGUGAAAUGCCGAAAACAACAGGUACCUUUACCGUGAAAUGCCGAAUACAACAGGUACCUUUACCGUGAAAUGCCGAAUACAACAGGUACCUUUACCGUGAAAUGCCGAAUACAACAGGUACCUUUACCGUGAAAUGCCGAAUACAACAGGUACCUUUACCGUGAAAUGCCGAAUACAACAGGUACCUUUACCGUGAAAUGCCCGAAUACAACAGGUACCUUUACCGUGAAAUGCCGAAUACAACAGGUACCUUUACCGUGAAAUGCCGAAUACAACAGGUACCUUUACCGUGAAAUGCCGAAUACAACAGGUACCUUUACCGUGAAAUGCCCGAAUACAACAGGUACCUUUACCGUGAAAUGCCCGAAUACAACAGGUACCUUUACAGUGAAAUGCCCGAAUACAACAGGUACCUUUACCGUGAAAUGCCGAAUACAACAGGUACCUUUACCGUGAAAUGCCCGAAUACAACAGGUACCUUUACUGUGAAAUGCCGAAUACAACAGGUACCUUUACAGUGAAAUGCCCGAAUACAACAGGUACCUUUACUGUGAAAUGCCGAAUACAACAGGUACCUUUACAGUGAAAUGUUUACUUACAAGCCCUUAACCAACAAAGCCGUUUGAGAAACAGACUAUUUACUAAAUAAACUGAAGUAAUUAACAUUUUAAAAAAUCUUUCUCAAUCAAAAAGCAACACAAGAAAAUGACUUCACAAUAGCGAGGCUCUAUACAGGGGGUACCGGUACCUAGUCAAUGUGCAGGGGGUACCGGUACCUAGUCAAUGUGCAGGGGGUACCGGUACCUAGUCAAUGUGCAGGGGGUACCGGUACCUAGUCAAUGUGCAGGGGGUACCGGUACCUAGUCAAUGUGCAGGGCGUACCGGUACCUAGUCAAUGUGCAGGGCGUACCGGUACCUAGUCAAUGUGCAGGGCGUACCGGUACCUAGUCAAUGUGCAGGGCGUACCGGUACCUAGUCAAUGUGCAGGGCGUACCGGUACCUAGUCAAUGUGCAGGGGGUACCGGUACCUAGUCAAUGUGCAGGGGGUACCGGUACCUAGUCAAUGUGCAGGGGGUACCGGUACCUAGUCAAUGUGCAGGGGGUACCGGUACCUAGUCAAUGUGCAGGGGGUACCGGUACCUAGUCAAUGUGCAGGGGGUACCGGUACCUAGUCAAUGUGCAGGGGGUACCGGUACCUAGUCAAUGUGCAGGGGGUACCGGUACCUAGUCAAUGUGCAGGGGGUACCGGUACCUAGUCAAUGUGCAGGGGGUACCGGUACCUAGUCAAUGUGCAGGGGGUACCGGUACCUAGUCAAUGUGCAGGAGGUACCGGUACCUAGUCAAUGUGCAGGGGGUACCGGUACCUAGUCAAUGUGCAGGAGGUACCGGUACCUAGUCAAUGUGCAGGGGGUACCGGUACCUAGUCAAUGUGCAGGGGGUACAGGUUAGUCGAGGUCAUUCGUAAAGUGACUAUGAAGCCCAUUGAACACGC